GGAUUGUAGUCUGCAACCCGACUACAUGAAGCUGGAAUCGCUAGUAAUCGCGAAUCAGAAUGUCGCGGUGAAUACGUUCCCGGGUCUUGUACACACCGCCCGUCACACCAUGGGAGUCGAUAACGCCCGAAGUCAGUGACCCAACCUUGUAGGAGGGAGCUGCCGAAGGCGGGAUGGAUAACUGGGGUGAAGUCGUAACAAGGUAAC
rnacentral:rRNA from 1 species